UUAUCUAUUUACUUAUUAGCACAUCCAUGUAAUGUGCACUGCGUCUACAACUAAUGACAGCCUAUGAACUACUGUAAGUCAACACAUCCCCCAGACUCUCAAACCCGGUGUAACGUUAACUAAAGGAAACUGUAGCAUGUUAUGAUCAACAAUAAACC